rnacentral:rRNA from 1 species
GACAGAGGUGGCAAGCGUUGUUCGGAUUCAUUGGGUGUAAAGGGCAGGUAGGUGGUUACGUAAGUCUGGUGUGAAAGCCCACGGCUCAACCGUGGAACGGCAUUGGAAACUGCGUGACUUGAGUACUGGAGAGGUGUGGGGAAUUCUCGGUGUAAGGGUGAAAUCUGUAGAUAUCGAGAGGAACACCAGUGGCGAAGGCGCCACACUGGCCGGUUACUGACACUGAGCUGCGAAAGCUAGGGGAGCAAACAGG